rnacentral:tRNA from 1 species
AUUUUAGUACGAAAGGACCAAAUUUAAGAAUUAUAUUUUUAAAUUAGAAUUAAAUUAUUAUUUUGGCAGAUUAGUGCAAUAGAUUUAGAAUCUUUAUAUGUAGUUUUACAAAUAA